CUUGAUCAACAACGAUGAUGACCCAAAAAUCACAUGCAAUCCACUCAUCUUCAAAUCCCCUCUUGUUCUACACCUUCCUUCGUUGCAAUCCAACAAAAAAAGCAUGAACAUGUCACUAAGCUCAUGAGUAGAGGAUGUCGCUAGUGGGGGGAGAAGCGAGACUGACAGAGGAGAAGCUAUGCAAGCACGGGGGAGAGAGACGACACUGUUGAAGUGCACUCCUGUGGCGGUGCUGAAAGCUUGAACAAUAGAGGGCUGCUGAAGCUUGAUUUCGAUCGGCAUCAUCUACUUCGUCAUAGAGCCUGGAAACCGAUGGGAAUAGCUCGAAGACUGAUGCGGUGGUCUAAGGGGGGACUGCUCGGUCAGGUGUUCAUCAUGGGCUAUUGGAGGUGUGGAGUUUUUAGAUGGAUAAAGUCUGUGCAGAACCACCAUUUCUAGACUGGGAUUUUGGUUAAUUUUCUUGGGUUUGCCUUAUAAUCUGUCAUUUCAGAUAGACAAAGUCGGGAUUUUGAGCGUGGGUAGCUUUGCUACAAGUAAAGGCGUGGUUUUUGUGAAAAGGUCGAACGUUUCCUUGUGAUUUGUGGUCAUGAAGUUUAUGAAAUUGGGUUCGAAGCCUAAUGCAUUUCAAGCGAAAGGGAAAUUUUUUUUUAGAUCUGGGUUUUUUGUUUCUUGUUGCGGUAUAUUAGGUUGUGUUUAUUUUUUGUUUGCUUCGACAUUCAUCUUCUUUUAUUUCAUUCUUUCUUAGAUUUUUUUUUUCCCGAGUUGCAACAAAUCUGAAAUCAUACUUUUUAGAUCUAAGCGAUAUUUUUUUUCCUAUUUCUCUUUUUCUAUAUUGGAUUCUUCUUAUGUUUUUUUGGUUAAAUAUAUAUUUGCGGUGUAAGAAAUUCUUCUUAUGUGUGCAUAGUGUAAGAAACUCACACACA